UACGUAGGGUGCAAGCGUUGUCCGGAAUUAUUGGGCGUAAAGAGCUCGUAGGCGGUCUGUCGCGUCGGCUGUGAAAUCCCGAGGCUCAACCUCGGGUCUGCAGUCGAUACGGGCAAACUAGAGUAUUGCAGGGGAGACUGGAAUUCCCGGUGUAGCGGUGGAAUGCGUAGAGAUCGGGAAGAACAUCAGUGGCGAAGGCGGCCUGCUGGGCUGUUGCUGACGCUGAGGCGCGACAGCGUGGGGAGCAAACAGG
rnacentral:rRNA from 1 species